AACUUUCACCCCGCCUGGCAGCCCGCUGAGAGCGAGAGAAAACCACGUGCACCAAACUUUAGGGGAGGAAAAAUGGGAACGUGGGGAGAAGACGUGAGGCGGCAGAUCUGAAAAAGAUGGUAGGUGGAGGGACCCCAGGGAUUCACCCUGGCCUCGGACUAAUCCUAUGGGGCGCUUGCAAACCCCGGCCAUCCCCUGGAGUCUGAAGGUACGGCCAAGUCCUGAUCCCACACGGUUCACUGGUUCCCGGCGGGCUGCGCUCGGCGCGGGGAGUGGCCGGGGGCCCAGAGACGGAGCCAGUGUCAGGCCCGGGCCCUGUCUGGCCUCCCUCCUGCUCCCCACUGCGUGGGGGCUGGGGGUGGGCUUCCUGAGCCGAGGGUAGAAGGUGGGGAGGCCCCUUCAGGGCUUUGUGAACGGUCACCCCCUGGCGCGCACUGCCUCCCUCUGCGGAAAGGGAAUUUCCCGUAAAGUGCUCUGCGAACCAGUGAAGAAGGGGCCCAAGGCCAGAGCCAUGCGGGCAAAGUGAAGUGCAAAGUUGAGGCAAUUAUCCGGACAAAUUAGAUUGUAAACAAAACCCCGCGUCUCUGAACAUCGCUUUUGCCCAGGGGGACUGGAGGGAUUGUGGUGGUGGCGGCGAUGGUGUGUUUGGGUUGGGAGGGGGAGGUCUGGGUGAGGAAAUGCCCACGGCCCAAGGGGGAGGGCUGUGUUGUUAGCAGACGCACCACUCAGAGUCCCGUGGAAAUCUCAAUACCCGUCCCCCUCCCCGCCCCACACACGCCGGAAACAUCUCCCAUCUGUCUGCAUGUGUUGGGGGUGGGGAGAAGUGAAGGAGGCCUCAGGGGUCCUCAUGAAGUACCCCAACCCAGCUCAGUGAUGCCGGGUCCCCAUGACCAAGGGAGGAUCCUGUUGUGGGAUCAGGACAAGAAGACAGUGGCUCUUGAAGCCUCUCCUGGCCCUAAAUCCUCAGGCAGGUGGACAAGAGGCUGGCAUAGUAUGUGAGCCCCUGUGGAGUGGGAGCUGGAAGCCUGAGGUGUGGGGUCGGAGCUGCAAGGAUUGAUGCUUAGUUGCCUGGGGGGAGGGGAUUUCUUGGCCGUUCCAGUGGUCCUUGAAAGAAAAGGGGACCUCAGAGAGGAGGCACCCUCUUGGGUUGUUUUUCAUCACUUCUGUCCCUUUUCUGCAAUGUUAGUGACACCUGCACAGGUCCACAUUUUAUGUAUUUGCCUUUUUGGGCAGGUGGGACAGGCAUACUUAGGUCCUGCUGGAGCGUUUUAGAUUUCUAGGUGUGAAAUUGUGCAGGGAAGACUCUAAGUGCCAUUUAUGUGGAUAUCUCAGUGUCCUUUCCAGUGUGGCAACUGAGAUAACCAUAGCCAUAAGAAUAAAAUAACAGCUAACAUCUGAGUCGUACCACCCACCAGCCAUUUAAUCUUCACAGUAACCCCAGGAGGGAGAUAUUUGUAUUAUCUCCAUUUUAUAGAAGAGGAAACUGAGGCACAAAGAGAUCAAGUAACUUGCCCAGGCUUACACAGCUGCUGGUCAGUGAUGAGCCAGAUUCCAACUAGAGCCACUUCAGUGAGGACAAGAAAGAAGCUCAUGGUGGUCUCUGAAGCGACACUGCCUGCUUGUGGGUUAGCUGAGGGGAAGGAUAUUCUGGGAGAAAGAAAGCCCUUGGUAGUACUAUCUGAUUUACCUUCUGUUGAGGCCCAGCUCUGGUGGAAAUCAUGGUGUGUGGACAGCCCUAGGCCAAGCCUGGAGUGGCAAGUCCUUGUGUCAGACCAGCUGGGCCAGUGACUAUGUCCUCAGUUCUCCUUCCUAUCCUUCUUGCAGCAAAGGCUGAGGGUGGGGUGAGAACUAGGGGCUUUGGAGACAAAAGAGAGAAUUUCUGUAGGGGGGUAUUGAAUGAGGUGACCUCCGAGGGGCUUCUCCAGCCCUUUUCUGGCUGGUUCACUGAAUGUUUUUCCCAUCCCCUUCCUGCAGCAGCCCUUGUACCUUACACAUGGGCUCACUUGCCCAGAGGGAUUGCCCUGGGAAAUGCUUCACUUUCAGUUCAGUUUACCCCUCAUCUCCAGGCCAGUUCAGUUCCCAGCUCCCUGUGAGCUACAGUGGGGGCUCAAGGCAUCAAAAGACCCUGUCUUGUCUUCACCUAAAGGGCAUUUUAGCGAGGAAGACAAAGCCUCCCCAAAGAAAGAUACAGAACAAAUGCCCCGAAAUCAAAGAAGCCAGUCCAAAGCCCUUCUUCCUGGUGCAAGAGCUUCGUUAAGAAGGUUGAAAAGAGUAGCCCUUGGCUCCAAAGUGGGAGUGACCGGGAGCAGGCAGGAGGGUCCUCUUUCUGUCCUUGUUCCUUCACAGGACUCAGGGCAGGUGCAGGUGCUUUGGCGGUGGCCGGAACCAAGGCUCAUGGCUUGGCCCCUCCAGGGGGGCCAUAGUUAAGAGCACAGGGGCUAGAGUCAGGCAGCCUUGGGUUGAACUUCAGCGUCUGUCACUUAACCAGUGUGUGACCCAGGCAAGUUACAUGAUGUUUGAGUCUCAGUUAACUCACUCAUCACCUCACUCAUCAAUUGGGAGGUUGGGAGGCCUCCUUGGGUGUUUGGGAGGGAGGAUGGGCAAAACUUCUAGCCUGGUAAUGUGUUCCUCACAUGCUUUCCAUAAUUACUUAUUUUCCCCUUGAUGAGCUCCAGGGUCCUCACUUAAAAUGACGAAUGCUGACCUCACAAAACUGCAAAUCAUGAGUUGCCACUUAUUAAAUGCUUGCCAGGCAGUCGAAUAACGUGCUGUUCAGCUUAUCACCCCAGCAAUGGUGACUCUUCUGCAGGUGAAGCUAAGAGAGGUCAAAUGACUUGCUCAGUUCACAUAGCUAGGAAGUAGUGUGGCGAGGACUUGCUCCCAGGUCUCCUGCUUUGAAGCAGACGCCCUUUCCCAAGGUCAGCCGCCACCCUAUUGUGGAGGUGAAGUGGGCUGAUGGAUGAGCUUGUUCCUAGCAGCAGGCCUGAUACUCAGGAGUAGGUUGGGGUGGUAGUGGUGUGUACAUCUAGAAACAUUUGCUUCAUUCCCAUGGUCCCAACAAACCUAAGCCCAGACAGUUUAUGUUUCUAUUAUUAUUAUUAUUAUUGAGACAGAGUCUCACUCUGUUGUCCAGGCUGGAGUGCAAUGGCACAAUCUCAGCUCACUGCAACCUCCGCCUUCUGAGUUGAAGCAAUUCUCCUGCCUCAGCCUCCCGAGUAGCUGGGACUACAGGCUCAUGCCACCAUGCCCUGCUAAUUUUUGUAUUUUUAGUAGAGAUGGGGUUUUGCCAUAUUGGCCAGGCUGGUCUCGAACUCCUGACCUCAAGUGAUCUGCCCGCCUUGGCCUCCCAAAGUACUGGGAUUACAGGCAUGAGCCACUACACCUGGCCAAAAACUAUUUUUUAGUUAUUGAGGAAUAAAACUUCAUCAGCAUAGGCCAGGUGUGGUGGCUCACGCCUGUAAUCCCAGCACUUUGGGAGGCCGAGGCAGGUGGGUGGAUUACCUGAGGUUGGGAGUUUGAGACCAGCCUGACCAACAUGGAGAAACCCCAUCUCUACUAAAAAUACAAAAUUAGCCAGGUGUGGUGGCACAUGCCUGUAAUCCCAGCUACUCAGGAGGCUGAGGCAGGAGAAUCGCUUGAACAUGGGAGGUGGAGCUUGCAGUGAGCUGAGAUCGUGCCAUUGCACUCUAGCCUGGGCAACAAGAGCGAAACUCUGUCUCAAAAAACAAAAAACAAAAAUAAAACCCACUUUAUCAGCAUAAUACAGUAACUCCACUCCACUCCACUCCUAAGUAUAUGCCAAUAAAAAUGCAUAUGUACAUAUGUUCACCAAAAGGCAUACACCAGAAUGCUAGGCCAUCUACUCGCAUGUGCUCACUAUUCACAACAGCUGUCAACAAUGGAAUAGGUGACUAAACCACGGUCUUCUCAUCCGUGGGCUAGUCCUUGGCAAUGAGAAUGAGCAAACCAUUGCCACGAGCAACAACAUGGAGGAAUCUCACAAAUCCAACGUUGAGCAUAAAAGCCAGACACGAAAGAAAACACCGUUUGAUUCCAUUGAUAGGAAAUUCAAAACCCAAUCCAAUGAAUUGAUGGCAUUAAAACUCAGGAGCAUGGCUGUUUUAGGUGGGGGUGUGACGGAGGGGCACAAGGGGAUUUCUGGGGGUCUUUUUGAAUUUGGGAGUUGGUUACAUGCAUGUGUUCACUUUGUAAACAUUAAUUGAGCUAUACAUUUUAUGCUUAAAAGUGAAACAUGUAAAAAUCAUUGCUAAUAUAGGCCUUUCUGUGACUCUCCUUCUUUCCCAUUCUCCAUCCUUCCCUUGUGGUUUUCUGAAGUUGGCCUUCCCAAGUAAGUUUUCUACUCUUACUCCUUUGGUAUUGCUUGGGUAUCUCAAAAUUUUCUUUUGUUUUAGUUAUUUAUUUUUAUUCACUUUUGGGGCAUAGUAAAGUAUGAAGCAAUUAAAAUUUUAAAUGAAAGGUAGCCUGCUCCUUGUUUUUACUUGUGUUUUGCUGAACUUCAUGCUGCCGAGAUGAAUGUCUACAUGUUUGUUGCAUGUGUUGUGUGUGUCUCUAGGUCACUUACUUAAGAGGCUGCUGGAGAGGAUUCUACCAUAUCAGUGUGUCCCAUCUUGUUUUGUUACCCAGCCUCCCACUGAUGGGGCAGUUCGAUUGUAGUGGAUAUUUGGGUAUUAUGGUCUCCUUGCUGCAGUAGGCUUCCUUCUGUGACCUCCCUCCCCACUGUGCCUCUCCUUCCCCCUGUGGUUCUUCUGCUCCAUAAUCUUUUCCCUUUCCCAUCUCCCCACUGUUCCUCCAUUCCCUGCUUCCCAAUCUUUCUGACUGGGAAAGACCUAGGAUCUGUGCCGAUUGGAGGUGAGGGAGGGAUAGGAGAGGGACAGCCUUUUCCUUUUCCACAAAGGCUCCUCUUCCCCAAGAUCAAUGAUGAUUUAAAGAAAGAAAUAUUUCAUUAGGGGUUGACAUCUUAAUGAACCGUGCCAGGAACCUUCAAGGCACUCUCUAGGCUUCCUCGGUUUUAAGCGGGGCUCCUACCUCUGGGGGAGGCUUAUCAGUUUACCAUAUUGCCCCAAGUAGAUGACCAUGGUAGUGUGGGUAGCUGUGCCAGGGGCUGUGGAGGAGAGGGCCCCCAGGACUGGGGCGAGGCUGGCUUGUCCUUCUAGGUGCCAGGCUGACCGGGUGCCUGGGCCCUUGGAGGUAUUUGGAGUUCCUUCUGGGACGUUUAGGGAGUCAGAGACUCAGGCCUUGUCCAAAAGGUGGUGGGCAUGGGACUUUGGGCUGAUUGGUGGAAAAUCAGUCAUUAAAGAUCAGGAAAUAAGCGAUAGCUUGACAAGCAGUGAGCAAUUUCCCACUAGUUGGAACACAGCAUCUUUAGGUCAAAUGAGAUCCCUACAUGGAGGGAUUUCUGUGCAGGAAGAGAGCAGGACACACAGAGAGGGGCCAAGAGAGCAGACCCAGUGCCUUAUCCCUCCCCCAUGCACCCCACCCAUGGGGGUGGGGAUGGGGUGGAGGAUGCAUGAGGGUAGCAGAAGCCCCAGGAGUGGGCACAGAGAAAAGAAUUCCUUUUUCCUUCAUUUAGUUCUUCCUCAUCUUUUUUUUUUUUUUUUUUUUUGGACACGGAGCUUCCGCGUUGUUGCCCAGGCUGGCGUGCAGAGGUGCAAUCACAGCUCACUGUGAUCAACCUCCUGGGCUCAACUGAUCCUCCCACUUCAGCCUUCCGAUUAACUGUGACCACAGGUGUGAGCUACCAUGCCCGGGUAGAGAAGGGGUCUCUGUGUUGCGCAGGUUCGUCUCAAACUCCUGGACUCAAAUAAUUCUCCUGCCUCAGCCUCCCAAAGUGCUGGGAUUGCAGGUGCAAGCCACCUCGUCCGGCCCUUCCUUAUCUUUUAAGAGCUAUCCCACAUUUUCCAUCCACUUGAAGACUUUUGGAUUUAAGUCUCAAUUCUGUCACUUUUCUAGCCCCAAAUCCUGAAGCAAGGGGCUUAACCUUAGUUUACUCAACUGCAAGAUGGGAAGAAAAAUGAGACUCUGGCAGAGAGGUCGUGAGGACAAGUAUGGCUCAUGUAGGAUUCUUCUCAGUUUAGGCAUUGGAUAGACUAUAGCUACUGUUAUUCUUUCUUGAUUAACCCAGCCCACUUCUGCCUCUUUCCAGGUGCUCUUUAGCACUCCUAUGUCAUUGAUGUUAUAAUGUGUUGUUAGCUAACUUAUUUAAUAAGCUCCCAGUAACUUUUAACAAACCCUAUUGUUUGUUAACUGUUUAGCCAUUUUAUGCCUCAUUUCUCCAACUAGAUAAUAAACUCCUUAAUUUAGGGACCCACAAUUUCAGUCAUUUGGGGAUUUCUCAUUGCAUCCAGCUUAAUUUCUUUUGCAAGGUAGCUGCACAGUACAUGCAUAUUGAUUUGAUUAUGAUUUGAUACUUUAGAGCAAAGUUUAAAAAACAAAAAAUAGCCUAACGCUUUAGGGCAAGUUGGUGUCCUGCAGGUAUCAGCUGCAUGUUGUAGGACAUAUGUAAUAACUGUGUCUUCAGUGAUCGCAAGGAAAGAGCUAGCUAGGGUCAAGGGGGAAACCUGGGUAGAAAAUGGGACAAGGAAGACUCUCAUUCCCUCAGAGCCAUCCCCUUCUCUCAGAGGGCUGUGCUCCCCAUUCUUCUCAUCUCUACUCUGGCUCCCUUUCUGCUUGUUGACUUAGGAUGUCUUCAGAACUCUGUGCUUAGCAGAGGAUGUAUUCCUUCCCCAUGGAACCUGGAAGACCUGGGGCUUGGAGUCUCAGCUGCUGGCACUGGAGGGUGAGGUGGGAUAUGAAGGAGGGAAGUUAAAGCCCAGGUAGACUCACAUUGAAAAUAGCUGCCACCUGUUGAGCAUCAACUGUUCACCAGGCACUUUUAAUAUGUAUCUCUGAUUCCCACAACAGUCCUAUUUUGUUUUUGAGAGAAAGCAGUGCUCCAAAUGUCAGAGGCAAUGAAUGUAGAGUAGAAAUAAGUGAAGAUAAGAGUGUCUUUAUACAUCCCUUAUUGUGUGUGGCAUCUGGCUGGGUCCAUGGAGUGGGGCUCACACACUUCCUCAUCCUUGUAAUUCUAUGCCAGGCCUGGGCCCCAGGCCCCAGCUCCUUCCUGGUUCUCCUGCACCCCCUCUUCUUUCUGGUCUUCACCAUGUGCCCUAGGGUCUUCUCUCCUCCAGUCCCCUCUGCUCUUGAGCCAUGGCUCUCCAGCCCCCAGGACCUCUCUCAAGGUUGUUAGGCAGCAGGAAGUCCCUGGAGCCAGGCAGCUGAAGGCAAACUGAAGCUGGGUCUUGCUUAAAGAAGAACCACCCAUGCAUCAGACACUGUGCUAAGCACGCUCCACACAUGACCUCAUUUCACCUCCCAACAGUCCUCUAAGAUGAUGCAACAGAUACUUGUUGGUGCCCUGUCUGGUGCACUGUGACUUUUCACCCCUAAGGCUUCCAAUCACUAGUGCCUGACUUUCCUAGCCUAAGGGUUUCCUUUGGGAAUUAGAGCCCACUUUUCCACUGUGUGGGAGACCAGAAGUGCCAGGGAACUAACACUUCCUGGGGGAGCCCUCCACCCAUAACUGAUGGGAACUGGUAUAUAAAUACCCCUACUCCCUUACUCCCCUUGUGGGAUAACUCCGAGUCAUGUGUGCCAUGCAUACUCCCAGGGUUUCCUCUGUGGGACUGAGCCCAUCCUGUAGCUGGCUUGGUAACAUAUACUUUGUUGCCUCCUUUCCUUGUCUUACUUCCCCACUUUUCUACUGGUAUUUCCUUCACCUCCUAAAUCAACCAUUCGCAAUGGAAUAGUGUCUCAGGGGCUGCUUAUGUGGGAACCCAGCCUAAAUCAGGUUGAUAGUAUUAUUAUCUUCAUUCUAUAAAUGACAAGACUAAAGCUCAGAAAGGUUGAAAUUCAUACACGGUUCCACAAUUAUGUAAGUACAGCACCUGUCUUCAUACCCUGGCUUGUUACACACCAGAGUGAUCACCUCAUUGCUCUAGUAUACGGCUUCUUGAGGGCCCUUUCCCUCUCAAGAAGACUGGUUCAAGGCGAUUCCCCUUGGCCUCCUGCCUUGAGAGGUAGGAGGUGGGGAGCAGGGUGGGUCAGGGGUACACUGGGAGUAUUUCCAGCCCACCUAGCCCCCCGUCUCCCUGUGGGACACUGGCAAGCAGUCAUAGCCAGUCUCUGGAUUGCAGGCAGACAGAGAAGCAGAGAACACCUACGGGGCUGGAGAUAUGAUGAAUAGAAAGAAGUGAAAGCCACCUGGAGUGCUGGAAAAGAAGAGUACUGAAUCAGGGGUACAAGGCGAGGGCGGGCUCGGGGCUGAGGAAUCUUUCUGAGCAUUUGCAGUACACAGCAGCUCCUGCAAAAACAGAAGGAAUGAGAUGAGAGACAGGAAAGUAUUUAUUUUUUUCUGUCUUAUUUUAGAGUCAGGAUCUCACUUUGACACCCAGGCUAGAGUGCAGUGACAUGACCAUAGCUCGCUGCAGCCUUGAAUUCCUGGGCUCAAGAGAUCCUCCUGCCUUAGCCUCUGAGUAGCUGGGACUACAAAAGGAUUUCUUGAUGUUAGAGUUUGCUCAGCCAGGGAAUGUGGAAAGUCCCCUGCUGAGAACCUUCGGACCAGACAAGAAAUUGGCCUCUUUUAUGAGAGUGGAGGUGGGCCCCUUGGGACAGGAAAGACCUGAUCCCUCCAGAGACAAAAGUUACCUGGUGAGAACACCUUCAUGUUUUCUAUUUGUUUGGUUUUCAUGACAUGUUUGUCUUAGUUUAGGUUCUCCCUGAAGCAGACUCUGACAGUGAUUCAAGCAUAAGUGGUUUAUUUGGGAGGUGGUCCCAGAAAUACCAGUGGGGGAGCAGGGCAGGGAGAAUGAAGGGAAGGCAGCCAAUAAAGGGAGUGUUAUCCCACUGUCAGCAAGAGGAGUGCAGUCCCACUGAGGACUUGAGCGUGCGUAACACACACCGCACACAAGCCAGCCCACGGACGCAGGCCUUAGGGUACUCAUCCACCAACUUCCCCUUCAUCGUGGGCUGCGUCCUCCUUCUAGGCGCAUUCACUCUCCAGCACUUCCGGCCUGCUCUGGGCUGGAGCCAAGGGUGUUUCCACGGCCAGGAAAAAAGCCUCAGGCAAACAGCAGGUGUUGGCAGUAAGCAGGCUUCUACCUUUAGAGGCGAACACUGAGAGAGAUGGGCAGGGCGCCAGUGCCUGCCACACUCUGCCGGUCUGUUCUCCUGCUUAACUUUUCCUUUUCAUGAGUCUUUGUGGGCUCAUCUCAUCUCCCUCUGUCCUGUCUGAAGCACUGGGCGUUGCCCCACUCUGUCCUCGUCAUCUGUGCUCUCGGACAAGCCCAUCUACUCUCAUGGUUUUACCUUCCACUUUUGAGAUGGUGGCUCCCACUACUAUCCUGUGUGGGACCUGGAUCCCAUGUGCGUGUUUGUGGGCCUCCAGGGAUGGCACACUCAACAUGUCCCCAGCCCAAGCCAUCUUCUGUAUCCAUAACAUGCUCCACCUCUGCAUUUUCUCCCCAUUGGUGGCACCAUAAUCUACCCAGUCACUCUAGAAACUAGAAUCAUCCCUUGGUUCUCCUUAUCCCUUCCUCUUCACAUCCAGUCACCAAGUCCUGUGGCUUCCAAGGCAUUUCUCAGAGUCAUUCCCUCCUCUUUACCUCCACUUCUCCUACUAUUGGUCAGGGCAGGACCUUCAUCAUCCCCCAUCUGGAGUAUUCCAAUAGCUUCCUACCUGGCCUCCCCACUUCCAGCCUUGUCCUCUUCCGGAGCCUCCUUUCAGUGCAUCCUCCACAGUGGUGAAAAAGUUCUAUCUAACAUGCCAGCCCAGGCUGGGUGUGGUAGCUCAUGCCUGUAAUCUCAGCACUUUGGGAGGCUGAGGCAGAUGGAUUGCUUGAGGCCAGGAGUUCAAGACCAGCCUGGACGACAUGGCAAAACCCCAUCUUUAAUAAAAAUUAAAUAAAUACAAUUCCAGCCUGAACUUGUCAUGCCCUGCUUAAGAUGCAUUCAAAAUUCAAGCACCUUGGUUGGGUGCACAGGGUACAAGGUAUCCUUUCUUGAACCUCUGGUUCUAUCCCUGGCCACUCCCAGCUCUGCCACCUGGGACUUGUGGCAUGUGCUAUGCUCUUCCAUGUAGCUAGGCUUCCUCUCAGACUGUGUCCUCUGUUUGGAAUAUCUUUUCUCCCAUAUGCUUUCACUGCUGACUAAGACCCAGCUCAGAUGGCACCUCUUCUUGGAAGUCUUCCCUGAAUGCCCCAGGCUGGAUUAGACACUCUUCUUUUGUGUUCUUGUAUCAGUGCAAACAUCAGAAAAUCCACUUCAAAUGGGCUUAAAUAACAAUGAAAAUUGACUGACUCUUGUAACUGAAAGUCAAGGGAGCAGGACUCGCUGCAGAUGAUGUGUGAUCCAGGGGCUUAAAAUGAUGCCCUUGGGUGCUCCCAUUGCUUAACUCUGCCUUUUCCUGGGUGGGCUUUAUUCUUAGAGUCCUUGGAGGGAGUCCCAUCAGCUUCAGACUCACAUCCAGCCCACUUCAGUCCAGUGAAUUGUUCAAGCCAACACUUAGCUUAUUUGGACUUGACUAGGGAUUGACUUGCCCUUCUCCAAACCCAUCAAAAUGGCCAAGGGCUUACAGUGUUCUACUUCAGGGGUUGGUGGAUUAUGGCCAAAUCCUGCUUACCACUUGUUUCUGGAAAUAAAGUUGUAUUGGAGCACAGUCAUACUCAUUUGCUUACGUAUCAUCUGUGGCUGUUUUUGUGUGACCGGGGCAGAGUUGGGCAGUGGAGGCAAAGACCAGCAAAUUUUGCUGUAUUUUAACCUCUACAGGCUAUGAGGCAAAAUUGAGAAUAUGAUGCAGGGAUUUACAUAACAAGAGAGAAAACAAAUUUCCACAAAACUUUUAUUGAUGAAAUUAGAAUGACAAUAAUAAUUGAGAACUUUUGUUUGUACUACAGGUUUACUAAUAAGAAGAAUGAAAUUUGGGGAAAGGGGAUAACAUUUUGCUUGGUUGGGGUUCAAAGUUAACGCUCCCUAUUAUCAAAGUGACCACCAAUGUUCAUCUGUGAAAACCACUUAGCUAACAGACCAUACAAAACCAGGCAGGAUUUUGUCUGUGAGCCACAGUUUGCAGACUCCUGAAUUAAAUCAAAGCAUUACAGAGCUAAGGGAAGAGACAGUGGGAAGCUGAUGCUGGAGAUGAUACUGACCCCAUAGGUCUGUGGGAGGCAUCUUAUAAGGCAUUUCUUUAUAAGGCAAGUUCAUGUCCAUUGAGCUCCUUAAUCUUGACAACAAUUCCAUGAGGGUAGGCAGGGUAAGGAUGGUUGUACACUCUUCAGAGAGGAGACUGAGGCUCAGAGAGAAGUGGCUUGUCUGAAGUUUCAUAGCAAAGCCUCUCUGGGACACCUUUGAGGAUGCUAAGACAUGGGCCUUGGAACAUGUGCUUUGUUGAGUAAUUGAACAAUUAUGGUGUCUCCUGGUUGGAAGACAGGCUGAGCCUGCAGAGGGACAGGCUGGUCUGAACAUGGUCUGGAAGGCUAAGUUUCCAGCUGGCUCUGUGACAUCCAGUGGUCUCCAGGAAUGGGGCUGGUCAGCAUGGUGCCUAGGAACCCAGUGUGGCUUCAAGGUUCUCUGAGCAUAGGCCUGUCUCCCUAUGCAGGACUGGGGAUACCAGCAUAGCAGCUAGAAAGAAAUCAGGGCUGGGCGUGGUGGCUCACAUCUGUAAUCCCAGCACUUUGGGAGGCCAAGGCAGGAGGAUUGGUUGAGACCAGCCUGGGCAACAUAACCAGACCCCUUCUCUUUUUCUUUUUUUUUUUUGAGAUGGAGUCUCUCUGUGUUGCCCAGGCUGGAGUGCAAUGGCGCGAUCAUGGCUCACUGCAACCUCUACCUCCUAGGCUCAAGCGAUUCUCCUUCCUCAGCCUUCCAAGUAGCUGGGAUUACAGGCACCCACCAUCAUGCCCGGCUAAUUUUUGUAUUUUUGUAGAGACAGGUGUUUUGUAGAGAUAGAUGUUUCAUAUUGGCCAGGCUGGUCUUGAACUCCUUACCGCAGGUGAUCUGCCCGCUUCGGCUUCCCAGAGUGCUGGGAUUACAGGUGUGAGCCACCAUGUCUGGCCAUGAGACCCCUUCUCUACAAAAAAUACAGUAAUUAGCCAGGCAUGAUGGCGUGCGCUUAUAGUCCCAGAUACUCAGGAGGCUGAGGUAGGAAAAUCUCUUGAGCUCAGGAGGCGGAGGUUGUCAUGAACCAAGAUCUCACCACUGCAUUUCAGCGUGGGCAACAGAGCAAGACUCUGUCUCAAAAAACAAACAAAAAAAUAGAAAUCAGACUUCAGGCAAUAAUGCCCAGCCCCACAAACAAAGAUUUUGACCCUCUACCUCACUGCCUGCAGCCUUCAAUGCCUGGCCUCAUCUGGGUUCCUGAGGAGCAAGCCUGCAUCCUGUGUCCUGUGGGCAGGCUGUGGGCAGCCCUCCUCCAGGCUUACCUUGCCUCAGGUAGGGCUGCCCAAGGUCAGGGAGGGUGGGUGGAGGCAAUCAGAUGUGAAGGACAGAUGCUGAGUUCCUUUCCAGGAUGAUGAUUUGUGGGUACUGAGCAUGUGUGUUCUGGUACAUACAAAUACACAGACACUUCACACAUUCCCUGUCUCACACACGUUUUCACACUCCCAUAGUCACCUCCAUCUUCACUACCACCAUCUCAUACUCACAUACAUGCACAGUCUCGUGGUUUCUCACUUUUUUUUCUUUUUUUUUUUGAGAUGGAGUCUGGCUCUGUCACCCAGGCUGGAGUGCAGUGGCACGAUCUCAGCUCACUGCAACCUCUGCCUCCCUGGUUCUGGUGAUUCUCCUGCCUCAGCCUCCCAAGUAGCUGGGAUUACAACCAUGCACCACCACACCCAGCUAAUUUUUGUACUUUUUUAGUAGAGACAGGGUUUCACCAUGUUGGCCAGGCUAGUCUCGAACUCCUGACCUCAGGUGAUCUGCCCGCCUUGGCCUCCCAAAGUGCUAGGAUUACAGGUGUUAGCCACCGCGUCCAGCUGGCUUCUCACAUUUUUUCAUGCACUCUCAAGCUUGCACAACAUAUUCAUAUGCACAACAUGUUCAUACAUACCUCUAUUAGUUUCCUGGGACUGCCACAACAAAGUAUCACACACUGGGUAGCUUAAAACAACAGGAAUUUAUUGUAUCAGUUUUGGAGGCCAGAAGUCCAAAAGCAAGGUUCCUUCUGAGACUUGUGGGGAAGGGCCUUUCCUUGCCUUUGCUGGCUUCUGGUAGCCCCAGGUAUUCUUCGGUUUGGAGGUGCAUCACUCCAGCCUCUGCCUCCAUCUGUCUCUGUGUCUUCACAUGGACAUCUUAUAAGGACACUAGUCAUAAUGCAUGAGGGCCACUCUAUUCCAGUAGGGACUCAUCCUAACUGAUUACAUCUGCAAUGAUACUGGUUCCAAAUAAAAUCAUAUUCGGAGGUUCUGGGGUUAGGACUUCAAUAUAUCUUUUUUGGGGAGGAGCACAAUUCAACCCAAAAUACCACCUACAGCCAUAAAAUCUCACAUACAUAGGCCAUACUGCCAUAGUGACACAGAUAUAAAACACACAAUCCCAUAGUCACAAAAAUCACACACUCCCAUAUACACUUUCAGGAUCAGACACUCCCAUGGUCCCCCCACAUGCACGCAUACACACACAUGGCGAGGUCAUCACAUACACACUCCUUUAGUUUCCCAGUCUUACAGCCCUACACACCCCCUCCAGUCACACCCCUUCGCACACCCUCCUGCCCCCGCCUCACUCCCAGAGGCCACCCUGUGGAGGUCAUGCUCAGAGACCCGGCACAUUUGCAGCCUCGCACUUGGCUCAUACAUCUCACAUCCUCUCCCACCCACACAGUCUCUCCCCUCUGACUCCUCCGCCCAGCUCACCAGUUCCCGCACCAACCCUCAUGGCAAGGAGGCAACAGACUGGCUCUGUUCCACUCCAGCGGGGGCACCAGGUGGCUCCCCCCUUGUCCUCUGGAAUCUGAUGCCCCCACAAGCCUGCCUUUUCAGGCUCCCACGCUUCCCUCUCAGGGACAGACAGACAGAAACAUCCACACACUCUCAUGCUCACACACGCGCCCCUCCGGCAGCCCCACGGCAGCAGUCUGUUCCUCAUUAUGGGCCAAUGCGCCUGUUUACUCACCCAGCUGGAGAUGGUUAGAGAGUGAUAAAUAAUGAAAGAGAAAACAGGCUUUUCCCCUCUGUGGCUUCUAUUUAUGUAAUAUGUGUCACUGUGCAUUCACAGACUUUGUUUCGGAGCUGGUUGCAGGAAAUAGUUUAUUUUUUCCGGACGGUGGCUUAAGGGGUGGGGAGGUGGGGGGCAGGGUUUGGGUUUCUGAUCUCACGCCCAUAGGAGUUUCGGAAUCUGGCUCCCAGAGUCCUCUUCCCCUGGUGCCUCCUCUCCUCGCCUCCCCUGACAUCCCCGGGGUGGGCAUCAUGGCUAGAGGCUGCCUCAGAACCAGGUUCUCCCACUCCACCUAUUUGGAAUGGGCUGGGGUGGUUGGGGGCCCCUCCCAGCUGCCUCUGAAACCUCCCAGACAGAUGGGCUUGUUUUAAGAGCCAGACAGCUUGAGGCUGGACUCCCAGAAAGGAGGCAGUUGGACAGGGUCUUCCUAGGUAGCCUGCACCUGUUGUUGGGGGAGGAUGCAAAAGGAUUAAUUCUAUAAAAUAAGAAAAAAAAAGAUCCAUACCUCAUGUUCACUUAGCACUUUCAUCCCCGUGGUCUCUCUGAGGCCUCACAACUUUUAAUGGCUGCUUCCCAGGUGAGAGAACUGGAGGAGGGCUUGCCAUGGUCUGUGCAACUGGCUGAUGAGGAGCCAGAACUUCACACUCAGGCCUCUGAGUCCAGAAGAGCCUCACACACCCCACUGCCUCCUCCUCCCAAGGAUGCCUCCCUUGGUAAAGUUCUGGUUGCCCUCACUCAUUCUAAGGUGAUGGGAGUAGUUAUAAGGGUGUGGGGGUUGGAAUUUGGGGAAUGGUGAGUCAUCAGAGGUCUGAGAAGUGUCCCCUUCUCCACCCUUUCCUAAACAUUAAGGUGAGCCUCCUUUGGGUGACAAGCCAGGGAAGGAAGAAGCAGCAGAAGGCUGCCCUGCUCCCCAACCCCCAGUGCAGGGAGGCUCUUGGGAAGCUGGAAGGGCACCUGCCCCCACCUGAGCCUGUCUUUUUGAGUGCCAGGGCAGGGAGACAAUGUCUUUGUUUGACAUGGAGCCCUGGUUGUAUCCCAGGCCACCUGCUGGGGGGACCCAGAGGUUCUGACCUUUGAGGAAUAUAGCAUCCACUAUGGAAAAUGGGCCCAGAAGCCCCCAACUCCUGCAGACUGUGGGGGAUGAAUAUAUACAGGUGCCAUGGGAUUAAGGUGCAGGGCAGAAUCCUGCCCAGUGACCUCGGGGUUCUUGCAGGGAGCAUCCCACAGGAAUCUCCUGGCUGCGGGGUGAAGCAGCCACCUUCCCAAGACAAGGACUUUAAACACGGUCUGACAAACAAGAGCACAUAUGGGCCAAGGGCAAAAGAGAAAAAGUGCUAAGGAGGCGGUUUUCUAAUUUAGUGGGUGUCAGAUUCACAGGGGAGCUUAUUAAAUGCGGAUCCCCAGGCUCCUUUCCUGGCGUUGAUUCAGCAGGUCGGGGGGGUGGGGGGCAGGAAUCAGCAUGGUUAGCAAGUUCCUGAGAGUUCUUGGACUGGUGGUUUCCCAAAGACUGGGAGACAACAGUGCCCUAUGUGGGCCCUGGAGGCAACCCCCCUGCCCAACGCAUAAAGAUGAGAUGCAAGCAUCAUGGUUAGGUCAGGAGGGAAUUUGACUUCCCCCAAAGAGUGAGAAUGAUUUGGUUGGAGAAUGAUAAAAUUUAUUUGGUCCAAAGGAAGGGAGGGAGGAAGAGAGGAAGGAAAAUAUAAUUUACCAAUACCUAUAUGUGCCAAGCUGUUACAUGAUGCUUUUCGUUUUGCUUUGUGCUUUUGUUUUUCAGAGACAGGGUCUUGCUAUGUGGCCCAGGCUGGAGUGCAGUGGCACAAUCAAAUCAUAGCGCACUGCAGCCUCGAAUUCCUGGGCUCAAGCGAUUCUCCUGCCUCAGCCUUCCGAGUAGCUGGGACUACAGGUGCAUGCCACCAUGCCUGGCUGUUACACGACAUUUUUACCUGGCUGCUUUGACUUUUUGACAUUCAUAUCCAUUUUUGGAACCUAAAACGCUGUCAACAUUCUAUUUCUUAUUACCAAGUAAUGCUCAUACAGACAUACCCGCCACAGCCCGAGUCAAAACUUUGUGUCAGCUGGGAUGUUGUGCACACCUUGGAGCAUCUACCACAUGCCAGGCAUUGUGCUUUGCAUGUACUGCUUUGUUUUUCACUGCACCGCAACACCGACAGGCAAUACUAUUCCCAUUUUACUGAUGAGGACAGCAAGGGUCAGAGAGGUUUAGUCACUUGCCUAAGGCCACCCGGCUACAUCAACCCUGGCAACAGGAAGAGCUGGUGCUUUUGUUUUUUUACUGAUCCAGGGAGAGGCCCUAUUAGGGAGGUAGAGGGACUGAAUCCAGAUCCUGCUUUAUAGCCCCCUCUCCAGGACUCCCUCCCUCCCACUCUGGAAUGGAGAGGUGGAUGGAGAGGCACCCUCUCUGCCACUCACUCAACCCCUCUGCCUUUGGGACCCUAUGGACUCUCAUACAGCCCACCCAGCUUGCACCCUGAGCUCUCUCCCAAGAAGCUGAGCACCUGGGGUCUCAGGCACUCCCUUCCAAUUCAGUCCCUGGAGCACUUAUGGCUCUGAGGGAGUCCCCGGAGGGGGGCUGAAAGAGGUGGGGGAGCUUAAGGAGCACCUUUCCUGGGCUUCCAGGAGCCUCUUACAUCCCUAUCCCCUUGGCAGAAUGGGUGUAUCACAACUGGAGGGUGGGGGUGUAUGGGGACGGCAGAGCUGGCCAGACCUAUGGUCCCAGAUGUUUGUUCAGGCUGUGGGCUGAGCCUGAUUUCAGAUGUGUGGCAGCUUCAUGGGAGUCCUGCCCAGACUCCCACAUGGACACUCACUUGCUUACUUGCACACACGCGUGCCCUCAUGCGACUCCCCUCCACACAGAGUUCCACUUGUGAAAACCCAGACAAAGCUCCAGACUAAUGUCCCUGUGGACAGUGACAUGAAUGGUAAAAAUCAUCCUCAACCCCAGGUGCUCUGCACACGCUGACUCUAAACUUCACAUCGAUCCUGCAAGGAUGCUUUCCCUGAUGACCUCCCCCUACCCACCACACACCUUAUAGAUGAGAAAAAUGGGCUUCAGAAAAGCCAAGUGACCGGUCUGAGGCCACACAGCGACCCCACGGCAGAGUGGGGACUGGGGUCUGUCUGUUGGGGAGCUCACCCGCAUCCCUCUCACCAGGCUGCUUUUCCCGUCUGGCUCCCAGGACCCAGCAGGUGUUCAGCACGUCCACUGAUGAAUGUGUAUGUCUGUGUUUUCUUUCACACACAGUGCAGGCUCCAGCUGCCCCUCUCUCCAAACCCACUCUGAGCUGUGAUCUCCCUGCAGGCUCAGAAACUUGCAGACCACUUGGCUUCCUCUACAGCCAGAACUAGCGCCAGCCUGAAUUCUCUGGGCUCCAGCCUCAGUUUCCCCUGAGUUUCUUAGGCCUGCACACCUGAGCAAGUCCCUCCCUGCUUUGAGCAGACCCACAGCACUGGUUGGGCUCCUGCUCCAGGCCUGACCCCCACUGUGGAAGCCUCUGGGGUCCAGCCACCUCCAUUCUCCUCUCUUCUUCCCAAACGUCAGGCCUGGCACUGCCCCCGCUCAGCCCCCGCUCCCUACGGCCCCCUGGGAGCCCAGGCUUUGCUUGAGGGCAGCAAGUGAAGCCGGCUGUAACAGAGAAACCUCAGGCUCCUCUUUAGAAGUCCCCGGAGGAGGCAGAUCUGAGGAAAGGCUGCCAAGAAGGCGCCUGCAGCAAUGUCAGCUUGAGAACAACCCGGCUGACAGGAUGCUGAGCGGGGAUUAAGGUCGGGAUCAGGGAAGCCAGGGAAAUGAAGGCAAGUUCCCUGCUCCCCUCGCUGCCACCGCUGCCGCUGCGGCUGGGUUUGUCUUCUUGUUUGUUCUGGCUCUGGGAAACUGGGCGGGGAGGGAAGUGGGCAGGGAUGAGGUGGGGAGGUGGAGGGAAGGACAGGGGGGAGGUGGAGAAGGGCUGGUAUGGGGGUGGAGGGAGGUGGAGGGAAGAGAAAGUCAGGCCUCCUCUGGGUCUUGGGGCUCAGCCAGGGAUGGGGCAGAGGCACAGAUGGCCCUUACCUGGGACCCUUCCCCUAUACCUGUCCCUAUAGCUGGUCUGCCAGCCAGUGGAGCAGCCAGUCGCCCCCCGACCCCCACCCCGGAACCCUCCCUCAUGUCCUGAGUGUGGGUGGCAGGACCAGUGAGAACACAAUUGACCUUGCCCUGAGAGGCUCCCAGCUCAAUGAAGCAGAUGCAGUCUACCUCCAGAGAGGAGGUGAGCCUGUUUCCACCUGUCUACACAUGCAAGAUCCCCUGUUCUGGGGAAAGACCAUUACCCCAACCUGCCUCAUCAUUGACAUGUCACAAGAGUCCAGCCAAAUGGGCUACUGAUUUCCAGGUCAUCCAGUGCACCACAAUUCUAGUGAAACCUCAUAUCCUUGCAUUGCCAUUGGUGUGGUAGUGAAGAACGUGGCUUCUGGUUUCAGACUGCAAGGGGUCACCUUUUGGCUCUGCCACUGAUUUGCUAUGUCACAUUGGGCAAGCUGGCUAACUUUCUAUGCCUCAGUGGGAUAAAAUCAUAGCACCUCCUCAUAAACUUGUCAGGAAGAUAGAGGGAGUGGACACGUGCGAAGUGCUUGGCAUAGGGCCUGCCAUGGAGGACAGAAGACAUACGCCAUAGGGUAGCUUUAUUUAUUAUUGAGGCAGAGUACAGGAAUAAGUGUGGCAAUUUGAAGUGACUUGGCUGAAAGCUUCCUGGGGGAAGGGGUGUGGAAAUCUGAUUUUGGAAGCUGAGACUGGGCAGGGGUAGAGAAGUGAAUUAGGGGUAUGGAACAGAGCUCCCAUUUGCCAGGUGAGUGAGUUAAGGAUGUAUCUGGUGAGAGGCAGAGAGGAUGCAUUUUCUAGAAGCCCUCAUCCCAGCCAGGCUUUCUCCAAAGUUCCCACUUUAACUAGGGGUAACUCUUCCAGCCCUGCCAAGGGCAAGCCAGGGGUGCCAAGACCAUGAAAAGAUGCAGUUUUUCAUGGUGACCUUCCCAGAAUGGAGUCUAUUCUAGAAACCCUAGCCAUUCAGGGAGACUCCACUUGUACCUGGGUUUUCUGGACCUGGCAAGGGAAGAAACAGGCACAGAGAGUACAAACCUGGAGGCAGAUCAUCCCUGGGGUUGGGUUCCAGCUCUGUGACUGAUCAUCUAUGUGCCUUGGAGCCAGUCAAUUAGCCUCUCUGGACCUUAGCUGCAGGGUCUGUGAAAUGAGAUAGUAAUAUGUACCUUAGAGUUGUAAUGAUGAGCAGUUACUCCAUAACUAUCCACUGUUGAUAUUCAGCUUAGCAAAGAGUUGCUGAGGUCCAGCCAGCUACUGGGGCCCCAGUGAAUGAGAGACCCUUUCCUAGCCCUUGAUAGCUGGUGGCCUGCAUGUGAGUCCAAAUAUGAUGCUGAAGGCAGUGGUGCUACCUUAAAGGUCCACCUGGGAACCAAAGAGAAGGAGUUCCUGGCAUCCACAUCCCAGGCUGCAGGGCCUGCUCCCCUGGCCCACCCUGCAGCCCUGCUUGGGUGUCCCUAUCUCUGGACACCCUGGCCAGCAGGCUGGGGAUGGGGAGAGUGUUGUAGGGGGAGGGGAAUGAGAACCUAGGAUGGGGUUCUGGUAAUUGGGGAAAAGCUUUGCUGGGUCUGAUUUGUGGGGGAAAGCCUUAGGCAAGGAGGCCCAGUCCCUGCAGAAGUGUGUGAGGAGCACCUUAUUGGGGAUUUUAUCUCUAGGGGCCUGGUUCUAGAAUUUUAAAAACACCUUUUCUUUUCUUUUUGUUCUGUUAAUAGAAGUUAUGUAUAUUUAUUGUUUAAAAAAAUGGAAAAUACAGGCCAGGCAUGGUGGCUCAUGCCUGUAAUCCCAGCACUUUGGGAGGCUGAGGCGCGUGGAUCAUGAGGUCAGGAGUUCAAAACUAGCCUGGCCAAGAUGGUGAAACCCCGUCUUUGCUAAAGCUAUAAAAAUUAGCCAGGCGUGGUGGCAGGUGCCUGUAAUCCCAGCUACUCGGGAGGCUGAGCAGGAGAAUCGCUUGAACCUGGGUGGCAGAGGUUGCAGUGAGCCAAGAUCCAGCCACUGCACUCCAGCCUAGGUGACAGAGUGAGACUCCAUCUCAAAAAAAAAAAAAAAAAAAAAAAAGGAAAAUACAGAAAAGCAUAAAAAAGGAAAUAAAGAUCAGCCAUAAUCUUCCCACCCAGAGAUAACCAUGGUACGACUUUAGUGUAUCUCCUAGUUUUUUUUAAGCUGACUCUCAAACACACAUUUACACACACUCACAUGGACACACACAUUCACACACACAUAUUCACAAAUAUACACUCACACGCACUCACACAUUUACAUACACAUAUAUGUAACUUUUUGUUACAUGUUUAAUGUACACAUGUCUUUAAAAGUUCAGAAACAAGAUCAUGGAAUCAUGAAUACAUCACCAUUUUGUCAACUAAUAUUUUUAUUAAAUAAAAUAUUGAUAACUUUUUCCCCAGGUCAUGACAUAUUCUUCUCCAACAUAAUUUAAAAUGACUGUAUAGUGCUCUGUCUUUGGGCAUAAGGCAUAUCAUUUUAUCAGUCAUCACCUGUUGGUCAUCCAUCCAUUUCUAGAUUUUUGCCAUUAUAAAUAAUACUGAGGUGAACAUCCUUGCAGAGAAAUCUUCGAGGGGGUCGCUAACUUUCCAAUUGUCUAUUCAUGUCUGUCUACUCCCGGCUUCGAUUUUGAGGCUUUCUAGGCAGGAUCUGUGUCUGGUUUGUUGUGACCCCAAAGUCUAGCUUGGCUGCUGGUUCACUGUAGGCAUCCAAUAAUGGUUGAAUUGAGUUGCUUUUCUAGAGCAUGUGCCCUCGGCUGAGGAAUUGGGAAGGUGGAUAGAUGAGGAAAGAGCCCACCUUUCCUGCUAGAACACUCAGGGGUCCCCAGUGCCUCUAUGCUGGACCUGCUAACUUCUCCUAGGAAAACACCUUCCCAAGCACAGAGCCACUGGCCAUCCCAGAGGCUCACUGAAUGGCCCUCCUGUAUCUCUUAUCUUCCUUGCCUGGACCCUCCCCCCUCAUCCCCUUCCCCCCUCCGCCCCCGAUCUCUGACUCUUGAGUUCUUUUGUUGUGUUUUCAAGCUGAAGGCCCAGCAGACAGAGCCCUCUCACCUGCCCGUGUCUGCUGGACAAUGUUGCGGCAGCUCCCAGCUCCCCAUACAGUGGCCUCCUCCGUGGCCCCCACUUUUGACAGCACAGCCUGCUUGGCUCCUGAGAAGUGCCCACGUGGCACACCUCACCCCUGCCCCUGCUCUGCCUGCCACCUCUCAUGGCACCAAAGGAGCCUUUGUCCCUUCCUCAUGGGGGCUCUCAGCAGAUGCUGACGUUCUGACUGAAACAGAUUUGUAGAAUCAUGGAUUUUGAAGUGGGGACCCAGGUCCCAGUGUUUCAGUGGGUCUUUAAAAAAGAGAGAAAGGGAGAGAGAGAUGGAGAGAGAGAGAGAGAAAGUGAGCAACAGCACGAGAGGUCAUUCCGGACUCCUGACGCCGCCAGUCCCGCGGUGAGACGUGAGCGCCAUUGGCGUCCGUGGCCUCUGUUUCCGUGGCAACCUAGUAACCAUUAAUUUUCAAUUAAAGGAGACAAAAAGCUCGAUGACAGCUCCAGGUCUGCUGAAGAUGUCAAGAAUCUGUAUUAAUAUACAGCAAGAGAGCAUAAUUGUGUGUCCAUCUUCCAGAGCAGCGAAAAAUGGAGGGAUAAUUACCAGCUCGAAAGCCACUCUGUAAUUUAGUUCUUACUGUCACCACAGCCCUACACAUUAGCAUAAAUUAAAAGCAGAGUUUAUUGUUAUCAAAGUGCAUUGAUAUCGCCAGACCUGCUUUCUUCCUUUUAACUGUUUGUUGUGGGUGAGUGACUCCCCAACUCUUGCCAGGGUCUCCCCAGGGUGGGGAGAGUGGAAGUGUGGCUGCUAGACCUGAAAGGUCUAGCUGCCAGCCUCCUUCAGGGCAGGUGGGGACAAGGGUCAGCGUGUUGCCCCUCUGAUAGGGUCUGGGGAUGAUGCAGGGGAUGGAGGAGGCUUGGAUAUUUAUUCACCUUUCACAUGUAAGUGCUUUGUUUUGCCAACGAGUGCUCCAGCUCUUUGCAGAGGGGGCUGCUGCCCCAUCGCGGGUCCCCCUUUAGUGCCUAGUACAGUGCAGGGCAGGUGAUGAGUGCUCUAAGGCAAUGUGUUAAACAAAGGAAUGAGUGCAUGUGUAGGGGUGUUCUCCCGGGGUGAAUGUCAGUGGAGAGACAUUGCAUUCCCUGUUCAGGGCGUGGCCAGCUCAGGUGGAGAUGCUCCUGUCUGUGGCCCAGUUCCUGCUUGGCCACCCAGGACCCCAGCUCCCCAGAGGGGUCCCUCUGGACCCCACGCCCCUAAUCUUGCCGCUUGGCCACCCACCUCCAUGGCCUGGGUGCUGCCACGGCCACCGCCUUCAUACUCACCUCCGAGUGGUUGGAGAACCUCGAAGUGUCUCGCUGCCAGAGUACCAGUGACAGCCACAGAAAUCAUGAGUUUCCGUGAAUGGGGGAUGCGGAGUUUUCUUGUAUUCUAUCCAGAGAGAGCUGUCCUUCAGAGGGGAAUUUAGUGUAAUUACCCUUAAGGGAGCGAUCCUUACACAGUCAGUCACAACACUGACCUCCUGGCUGAGAUUUGACAGCAAAAUUGCAGGCUGUGUACUCAACAGAAGGGGCAUCCUCCUUUUUUGGGUGUUGAGGGGGGAGGCGGGAAGGAAGGAGGAGGAGGGAAAGGAGACUCAGAGGCUUUGAAAAGAAAAGUGCUGGCUUACAGCUGCCAGGCAAGCGGGUUCUCCUUGGCAAGGCGUCUACAGGGCAAGGAGAAGGUGUCCAGAGAUCCCCUGGAACUUCACCUGGCUCAUGAAGAGGGGCCAAGGUAGGCACUCCAGCCCUUCAGAUCUUUGAGCUCUGGUUUGUGAUCUUAGCUAAAGUUAAUCUUAUUGUAAGAAGGAUUUGGAGGGUACUAGGCACUAUUUGAUGAACUUCUCAGGCAUGUUUUCCCAAACAUAUCUGUCCUCGGUCCCUCCCCGGUGCUAGAAGUUCCACUGUUCCUUUUACCUUUAAGUUGACAGAUCCAAGACCCUGUAAACCUGCAUCUGGGUUACCUGGAAGGACUAAUGUGUUAAUCUGUGACCACUCCAAAUUUAGCAUGGAUGCAUCUCUCAGAUGUGCUGGCCCAUCACAUGACUGAAGCCAAAGGACACAGGGGUCAGGCAAAUUUCCGUGAAGGAUUGGAAAAAAUCUGUUGUAUGGGUAGAUCUUGAUGGACUGUGAAGCCUGGCAAGGAAUGGAGGUAAAUCCCCAAAUCUCAAAGCUGGAAGGGAUCCCAGAAGCCAACGGGUCCAAACUUCGCAGAGAAGGAGUCCCCACCUCUCUGUUCUACCUCUACCCAAAACUCAGGGCUGGGCGCGGUGACUCACGCCUGUAAUCCCAGCACUUUGGGAGGCCAAGGCAGGCAGAUCACCUGAGGUUAGGAGUUUGAGACCAGCCUGGCCAACAUGGCAAAACCCCGUCUCUACUAAAAAUACAAAAAUUAGCCAGGCAUGGUGGCACGCGCCUGUAAUCCCAGCUACUUGAGAGGCUGAGACAGAAGAAUCACUUGAACCUGGGAGGUGGAGGUUGCAGUGAGCCAAGAUAGUGCCAUUGCACUCCAGCCUGGGUGACAAGAGUGAAAUUCUGUCUCAAAACAAAAAACAAACAAAAAACAAAACAAAACAAAAAACAACUCAGCCACCUCUGCCCACACAAUUCCUAAUAGCACGAGCUAGCUGUCUCUAUAGAGGUCCAUCCUGCUGUUAAAUAGCCCGGACCAUUGCCAAAUUCCUCCUGAGUGCAAAUGAAAAUCUGUGUCCGUGAAACUUCUUCCUUCCUUUUGGAGCCCCUUUGGAACAAAUCUAGGCUUUCUCUGGCGGGACAGCCCUUCAGCUACGUGGGGACCAUGCUCAGCUAUUAGUCGUCUUCUCCUCCAAGUCUGGGACCCAGUAGACUCAUCACCAUCUGGCUCAUCCUUUCAGGAAAGUGCCCAAAAGGAGUCUGAAAGGGCACAGGACAGCCCAAAAUGCAAAUCCAAUGUUUAUUGAGCAUCUGCUAUGUUCCAGGCAGAAACACCCACCAUAUCUCUUUUCUUUUUUUUCUUUUUUUGGAGACGGAGUCUCGCUCUGUCACCCAGGCUGGAGUGCAGUGGCACGAUCUCAGCUCACUGCAGCCUCCACCUCCCAGGUUCAAACAAUUCUCCUGCCUCAGCCUCCCAAAUAGCUGGGACUACAGGCUCAUGCCGCCAUGCUCAGCUAAUUUUUUGUAUUUUAGUAGAGAUGGGAUUUCACUGUGUUGCCCAGGCUGGUCUCAAACUCCUGAGCUUAGGCAACCCGCCCGCCUCGGCCUCCCAAAGUGCUGGGAUUACAGGUGUGCACCACUGCGCCUGGCCCCAUAUCUCUUUUCAUCCUCUCAACCAAUUCAAUGAAGGGAGGAUAUAUUAUUCCCAUUUUACCGUAGAGAAAAGAAGGACGCAAGAAGCUUCAAAUCACUUGCCCCAAAUCACCUGCCAGCAAGGGGCAGAGCCAGAACUGGGAGCCCAGACUCCUGACCCAGGCCAAAGACUUUCCUUGAGAAUCCAGCUGCGUUGGUCCCUACACCCCUUGGCCACCACUGGGUUUGGGGAAUGAGCUCUGCCAUCAUUCUCCUGUCUCUCUACCUCCAUGAUGCUUUUCUGCAGGGCCUUUCUCUCCACUUGGCAGGGAGAAGGAAUUCCAGGGAAAACCCAGCUUAAGUCCUGCAUCCUCCCUGAAGGCUUCCCUGCCCAUCCCAGGCCUCAGUAACUGCUUCAGUAUAAUGACAACAUUGGACGUUAUUUACUGACCACAGGACUAUGCUUCAGCACCUACCCUAAGGUAUUUUAUUCAAUCCUCCAGGCUUUUGCCCUGGCUGAGGGUUCUGCCUGAGCUUCUCUCCCCUCAGAUACCUGCAUCUCCUUGAAGGACCACCUUCUCUGGGAGGUCCAACCUAACCAUCCUUUCCCAGGUCUUUGUACCCGCUUUAUUUCUUUCUAUAGCUCAUGUCACCUUCCGAAGAGUAUUUAAUUUACUGAUUAUUGUGCUCAUUGCCUAUCUUCCUCCUCUUUAAGUUCCAAAAGGACAGAGGCUGUAUUUUGUUUACUGUUGCAUCCCAAGCACCUAGAACAGUGCCUGACAUACGGUAGGUGUACAAGCGAUAUCUGUCAAAUGACAGGAGGAAAACUCAAAACCCUUUGAGGCAGGUGUGUUGUUUUCACAGCAGAGAGGAACUAGGGCUCUAGUUCUGGGUUAGGUGGCUUGUCCAAGGUCACAGAGCUGGCCAUACCCAGCUGUGUAUUGGGCUGCUGAGUAUGAGGCUGUUUGGGGUGGGCCUUGAGCCUGAGCCUGUUCUGAGCUUUGUGUGUGUGUGUGUGUGUGUGUGUGUGUGUGUUUGGUGGCUUCCUAGGGGAUUUCUGCCUGCAUUCCAACCAGCAGGUCCUUCCAGGCACCCCUCCCCUCCUUUACAGGGCUUCUUCCCUUCCUGCAGCUCCUUUCAGCCCCUGCUUUCUUGCCCCAAGCCUGGAGAGGCCUGUGAGUGCAGUCCAGCUAACUUCCCUCCCCUGAGCUCAUGGGUCCCUGCCUGGGCUGAAGUCCACACCGGGAGCCCAAGGUGCCCCUGGAAGGCCCCCACCCUGGCCUCCGAGUGGUUCCUCUCCCCAGAGAUGUAAAUCCGGGCCCCAGAGUGGCCACACAGAACAUACAUCUUAAACAAACACUUCUCCUUGCUGUUUAUCUCCCUGGCCUUUAAACAAACUCUUUCAAAGGUUUCUGCUGAUAGGAGAGAUUUACUGAAAACCAUUCCUUGCUUAAAAGCCCUGGGUUUAUGCUGCUGGGGUGGGGGCAGUGGGGCCUUCAGGCCUGGGGUUUCUCUGCCUCCGGACCACAUGUUUAUCCUCCAGGCCUUGAUAGAGGAGCAACACAGACUAAUCUUUAUGGAAAAGAAAAUAAUAAAAGCAGGAAAGGGGAGGGGUGGAGGCUGGGGUGCGUUUGGUUCUUGUCACUGACUCCAAGAGGUUGUGGCAGGUCCGGGUGUGGCAGUGCCCACCACACUGUAGCCCUGCCUGUUGGGGGUGGGGUGAGCUGAGCAUCUGGGAGGGGUGGGGCUCCCUUGAACUUUGGACAGAAGGCCUUUGGGCAGGUGAGCCUCUUCUCCGGCUUCCAGAGGCCAGAGUGGGCCUCUCCCUGCUGGAUGGGGGUUGGAGGGAGGGCAGCAGUCACAUGAUCAUGUCUAUUCCUGCAUCAACCAACAGUCAGAAGGCACCUAGCCUGUGCCAGGACCUGGGGGUGGAGAGAGGAAUAGUUGUUAACAAUUACUUUAGCAUUUCUGUGGGCCUGGUACUGUUCUAAAUCGCUUACAUGAAUCAACUCAUUUAAUGGCCCCAGUAGAUUCUAUAAUUAUCCCAAUUUUGCAUAUGGGGAAACCAAGUCACAGAAAGAUUACUGGCUGUACUCCAGAGGUUUUGGUUUAACUGGGAUGCAGGCUGGGCAUUGGAUUCCAGGAUGCAUCCCAAGUGGAAAAAGAUUGACAUUCCCAUUUCCCACCCACUCCCCACUUGUCCUUCCAAUAAUACAGUAUCUCUUCCAUUUCAAGGCGUCUCACAAUUCAUUGACAGUGGUAUUUUUUUCUUAGUGGAUCGUAAAAUAAUGGUGCAUCUUACAGUCUUAGGUUCAACAAAAUAUAGUAAUAGAAAACUAACCUCUACCAACUGUGGGGACUGAGCUGGAUGAUUUGCAUCCAUUAUCUCAUUUAAUCCACCUCCCAAAGCUGCAACAUAGGUCACAGGAGCACCUCUGAUGAGAAAACUGAGGCACCAAGAAUUCAAUAACCUGCCCAAGAUCACCCAGCUGGUGGGAGGUGGAGGCAGGAUUUGAACCCACAGUUAAAUGGCCUAAUAUUUAUCCCCAACCCUUAUAGAGCACCUUAUAUGAUUCAAACUGUCUUCCGACCUGUUUUGUCCAUUGAGGAAGACGCUGAAAUCCAGAAAGUUUAAGUGACCUGCUCUAAGUUACACAUCUGACUUCUCAACCUAUAACUGUGGGAGAACCAUGGGAAGUGGGUUUCGUUGUUAUUAUUGUUGUUUGCUUGUCUUAAGCCUACCUGGGCUUUUAUAGCUAGAAGCCACUCCUAAGAGAACAUGACCAGGAAAGUGGGCCAGGGCCAGGGCAGGGGCCCCUGAGAGUAUGGGCCAUCCUGGGGUCUUGGGUGCUGAAGGUUGGAGCCAAGGCCUGUCGUGGGACCUCCCAAGGGCAGAGGACUUGAGCAGGGGCAGAUGUCAUUGCAAAGACUCCACUGACUUCCGUCUCUGUUUUGUUUGUGAAGCGAAGUUGCUGCAGUGGCAGGUGGGGAGGCAGCAGAAGGCCAGGUAGGAAUUUCCAGUCCUUCCCUGGGCCCAUAGCUCAGGCCGGAAGCCACUCCCUUCCUCCAUGUUUACAUGCAGCGGGCCACACCCCUUCAGAUGGCACAGACUGACACCCCCUUCCGGUCCCCCUGCUCCAGGCCAAAUACUUUUUCACUCACGUUAAAGCACCUUUCAGCACCUGGGCCCUGAGCUGGGGAGCAUUUCCAGGGAGGAAAGAAGGGAGAGGGUAUGAGGAGGAGGCUGGGGGUGGGUUGAGGGAAGGUGAGGAGCUGGGGGUAGUGGAGACUAGGAUGAAGUUAUGUGAGUGAUUGUCUUGCACCCAUCAUCUUUCUUUUUGUAUUAUUCUUUCCUUAUAUAGUGACAUCCAGUUUCCAAAACCUUUCCUUCCUCCUAGCAACUCUUACCCUAAGAUACUUAAUUCACACCAAGGUAAACACGACUAAUAACAGCUUCCAAAGUGAUCCUUUCAAGGGCAUUUUGGCAGUGGCCUCUUUAUUUGUUCAUUCAUUCUUUGAUUUCCUCAACAAUUUCCUUUGGCAUUCCUGGAGACCCUCCAUCCUAUCUCGAAGGCUUAGCUGGGACACCUCUAAGCUGUUUGGUGGGCUGCUGUCCAAACUCUGGGCUUUGUGGGUAGUGGCAUCCACACCCUCUGACAGCAUGUAGGUAUAUUGGCAGCAACCCAAGCUGUCUUUUUUGCACCUUCAAUGGAAGGAAAGGCAAUUUCUCCUCAUGAAAAAAGUUUGGGAGACUUUACCUAAAUGUAAAGGGAGGUGCUUUAAUGAUAUAUCUCCAGGAAUCAAACCCAUCAGUCCAUCUGAGUUUGGUCAUGGGCUGAGCUCCCCAGGGCAGCUGGGCAGGAGCCCUUCCAGGACAUCAGAACUUGGGGUAGAAUUUCCACCCCACUGGCCCUCAGGGCUCUGCAUAGAUUUCUCUCUCUGUCCUUCUUGGUAGGGAAGUGGCUGAUCAUGAGGAAGACCCUGAGCUCAGAGCUGGAAGAUAUCCAGGGACCCAUCCACCCAGUAGUUUGCAGAGGACAAAAUGACUCAAAAGUAUACCGAAAUCCAAAAUAUAAAACAGCUAAGAGUUAAAGCUCCAGUUGAAGGCAAAGGUCUAGACCCUGCCUCCUCUGCUCUCCCACUUGGCCCAUAAGUGGUCCAAAGCUUCUCUGUGGACCUCCAAAGCUCAGGAGAACACGAAUAGAAUCCACUGAGCCAGUCUAGUGAUCCAUUUUAUAGACAAAGAAACUGAGUCAGAGCAUGAUGGGAUGGAUGUGAGUCCUUAGGGGCCUCCACCCUUCCAUGAUCACUUCUGGCUCAUGUUCAUUCCCUGGACUCAUAAUGUACCCUUCUUUCUAACUUGACCUGCACAAUUCUACGGACUCUUCAGGCUCAGCUCAAAUGUCACCCUCCACCAUGGAGCGUUCCUCAAUUCUCUCCUCCAGUUCUGGCCCUACUCCCACCCAGUUCGGUGUUCCUGGAGCUCACUGCUUUUGCAUCUCUCUUAAGUUCAACCUCUCAUUUCUGCCCAUUUGAAGCAGCUCUUUUCUCCCUUGUCAGGCUGUUGGUCUCCUUGAGGUCAGGAGGUUUUUAAAAAAUCCCAAGCCUCCAGCCCAUGAGUAGGUGUGCAAUCACAGUGAGGCUGCUGACAUGUUUUCUUGGGUGAUGGUGAGAUGCUUUGCCCACUGGGGUCAGGGUCUCCCUACUGGACGGCCCUAGUUCUCAUCAAUUUGGUGGGGAGGGCAUAGAGUUUGAUUAAACAGUUACUUGGAUACCUGAAGUAGGGCAGGGAAGGGGAUACAGAACCUUCAGAGCCUGGGGAGGAGGGACCCUUCUGCUCUAAAUUGUCCACUCGCUCCAUCCUCAAGAAGAUGGAGAGCAGAAACAGGGGCAGGGGAAGAGAGCUGGGCCCCGCACACUUCCCACCAUCACUGAUUUCCCUCUUCUCUGGCAUUUUAAGAGCUCAGACUCAAACCCUUCAAGGGCUUUUGAAACAAUUAGAUUUGAAAGUGCCCAGUGCUUGGUCUAAUUGCUUAAAAGCCACUUCAGGCUUCAACUGACCCAGAGUAAAGCCUGGGGGGUGGGUAGAGGGGAGGGGAGACCCGAGACACUCUGUCGCCCUGUUUCCCAGGCCUUCCUGGACAACCAAGGCCUAGGUGAGUGGUGAUGCCAAAUAAGGGCCUUCAACUUUUCCCGGGGGGGCAGAGCCACCAUACUCUUCCUGCCCCUUUCCCAGCCCUUGCCCCCAGGGAACCGCUCACAUCUAACCUUUCUCUAAGAUACCUUCUCACGCAAAUUCCAGCAUUCCUAGGGGUGAUUGGAGCACUUAUGUCCAGAACCAAUUUUCAGUGUCAAAAAGUGGACUGAGCCAGUGUAAAGAGGCCGAGAAGUAUCAGGAGACAAGCCUUGGUGUGUCCAACUCAAGAUGAUGCUUUGCUUCUGGGAUAUUCUGAGAUUGGGGAUUUUGCAAUCUCUAAGUCAGUUCCAUCUCUCCAUGCUUUCGUGAUUACUCUUCUCCCAAGUUCUUUUUUUUUUUUUUUUGAGACAGAGUCUUGCUCUGUCACCCAGGCUGGAGUGCAGUGGCGCGAUCUCGGCUCACUGCAAGCUCCGCCUCCCAGGUUCACACCAUUCUCCUGCCUCAGCCUCCCGAGUAGCUGGGACUACAGGCACCCGCCACCAGGCCCAGCUAAUUUUUUUGUAUUUUUAGUAGAGACGGGGUUUCACCAUGUUAGCCAGGAUGGUCUCGAUCUCCUGACCUUGUGAUCUGCCCGUCUUGGCCUCCCAAAGUGCUGGGAUUACAGGUGUGAGCCACCGCA
rnacentral:lncRNA from 1 species